UAGCGCUAAUGGAUGUAGAAGGAGAGCAUCGUGCAGUCUUGGCUGGCAGCAAGAUGCACCCGGGAGAGGAUGUUGGCGUAGGACAAUGAUCGGCAACCCUGCCGUCAGGAUGUAAAUACGCCCGUCUAUACUUUAUAGACUAGAUAUACUUCAGUUGCUUGUCAUAUCAUUCUACCUGUCAUCUUCUAAAGAAAGCAUUGAUCGAACAACAUUGUUAUAAAGAUUUCCCUGAAUUUAUUACUUUAUUUUUAUAAAUAGUUGCAUCCUGAAAAUCACUAAAGAACCCGACCUACGUGGCGGAACAGCGGAUUGAAUUUAUUGGCCAAUUAGCUUGCAAGGCCCACUGAAAUAGUAAGUAAGAUUGUAGGAGUAAAAAUGGAUAUUAAUGGAUUUAUAAUUGUAGUUUUGAAGCGGAAUAUACGACUAUCAAAAUCAGUGAGACGACCUUUUAUUUGUUGGCCAACAGUUCCUUUUUUUACAUGUUAUUCAUGUUAUUGUUCAUUGAAACGCCUUAACAAAUGUUAAAAGUAAUAGGAAUUGUGAAUAUAACUGUUAGUAUUUGAAUUUACUGCUGAAAUCGAUAAACUUUUCACAAG